GACGAACGCUGGCGGCGUGCCUAAUACAUGCAAGUAGAACGCACAGUUUAUACCGUAGCUUGCUACACCAUAGACUGUGAGUUGCGAACGGGUGAGUAACGCGUAGGUAACCUGCCUGGUAGCGGGGGAUAACUAUUGGAAACGACAGCUAAUACCGCAUAAUAUUAAUUAUUGCAUGAUAAUUAAUUGAAAGGUGCAAUUGCACCACUACCAGAUGGACCUGCGUUGUAUUAGCUGGUAGGUGAGGUAACGGCUCAUCUAGGCGACGAUACAUAGCCGAACGGAGAGGGUGGUCAGCCGGCCUGGGACUGAGACACGGCCCAUAGGCCUACGGAAGGCAGCAGUAGGGAAUCGGGGGCAAUGGGCGAGAGUCUGACCGAGCUACGCCGCGUGAGUGAAGAAGGUUUUCGGAUCGUAAAGCUCUGUUGUAGGGGAAGAACGGGUGUGAGAGUGGAAAGUUCACACUGUGACGGUAUCGUACCAGAAAGGAACGGCUAACUACGUG
rnacentral:rRNA from 1 species